rnacentral:rRNA from 1 species
AACGAACGCUGGCGGCAGGCUUAACACAUGCAAGUCGAGCGCCCCGCAAGGGGAGCGGCAGACGGGUGAGUAACGCGUGGGAAUCUACCCAUCUCUACGGAAUAACGCAUGGAAACGUGUGCUAAUACCGUAUACGUCCUUCGGGAGACAGAUUUAUCGGAGAUGGAUGAGCUCGCGGUGGAUUAGCUAGGUGGUUGGAUAAAGGCCUACCAAGGCGACGAUCCAUAGCUGGUCUGAGAGGAUGAUCAGCCACACUGGGACUGAGACACGGCCCAGACUCCUACGGGAGGCAGCAGUGGGGAAUAUUGGACAAUGGGCGCAAGCCUGAUCCAGCCAUGCCGCGUGAGUUAUGAAGGCCCUAGGGUUGUAAAGCUCUUUCACCGGUGAAGAUAAUGACGGUAACCGGAGAAGAAGCCCCGGCUAACUUCGUGCCAGCAGCCGCAGUAAUAC